CCUACGGGUGGCAGCAGUGAGGAAUAUUGGUCAAUGGCCGAGAGGCUGAACCAGCCAAGUCGCGUGAGGGAAGACGGCCCUACGGGUUGUAAACCUCUUUUGUCGGGGAGCAAAGCGAACCACGUGUGGUUCAUUGAGAGUACCCGAAGAAAAAGCAUCGGCUAACUCCGUGCCAGCAGCCGCGGUAAUACGGAGGAUGCGAGCGUUAUCCGGAUUUAUUGGGUUUAAAGGGUGCGUAGGCGGUGGUUCAAGCCAGCGGUCAAAUUGUGGGGCUCAACCCCGUACUGCCGUUGAAACUGCAUCCCUUGAGUGCGCGAGAGGUAUGCGGAAUGCGUGGUGUAGCGGUGAAAUGCAUAGAUAUCACGCAGAACUCCGAUUGCGAAGGCAGCAUACCGGCGCCCGACUGACGCUGAGGCACGAAAGCGUGGGGAUCGAACAGGAUUAGAUACCCGAGUAGUC
rnacentral:rRNA from 1 species